rnacentral:rRNA from 1 species
UACGUAGGUGGCAAGCGUUGUCCGGAUUUACUGGGCGUAAAGAGCGCGCAGGCGGUCGUUCAAGUCGCGUGUGAAAGCCCCCGGCUCAACUGGGGAGGGUCACUCGAUACUGAUCGACUUGAAGGCAGGAGAGGGAAGCGGAAUUCCCGGUGUAGUGGUGAAAUGCGUAGAUAUCAGGAGGAACACCGGUGGCGAAGGCGGGUCUCUGGGCCGAUACUGACGCUGAGGAGCGAAAGCGUGGGGAGCGAACAGG